UACGGAAGGGGCAAGCGUUGUUCGGAAUCAUUGGGCGUAAAGGGCGCGUAGGUGGUUCUGUAUGUCUACCGUGAAAGCGUACGGCUCAACCGUAUUUUGUCGGUGGAAACUGCAGGACUUGAGGCUGGGAGGGGCUGGUGGAAUUCCCUGUGUAGCGGUGAAAUGCGUAGAUAUUGGGAGGGACACCGGUGGCGAAGGCGGCCCUCUGGACCGGUACUGACGCUGAUGCGCGAAAGCGUGGGGAGCAAACGGG
rnacentral:rRNA from 1 species